rnacentral:sRNA from 1 species
GACCUAAACUUGGUUUUUCGAAAUCAGGCAUGGUCAAAAAACUCACAACGGUUAAAGCCCCUCGCUGGGGAAUUCGUUGUGAGUCGUACAGGGAAACUUGUGCGGGUGGAGACACC